AUGGCAGGCGCCGGCCCGAAGCGGCGCGCGUCCGCGGCGGCCGCGGCGGCCGAGGAGGAGGAGCGGCAGGCGCGGGAGCGGAUGCUGGCGACGCGGCGCGCGGAGGGCGCGGAGGGCGCGGAGGGCGCGGAGGGCGUGACCCUGCAGCGGAGCAUCACGCUCUUCAACGGCGUGGCCAUCAUCGUGGGCACCAUCAUCGGCUCGGGCAUCUUCGUGACGCCCACCGGCGUGCUCAAGGAGGCGGGCUCGCCGGGGCUGGCGCUGGUGGUGUGGGCCGUGUGCGGGGUCUUCUCCAUCGUGGGCGCGCUGUGCUACGCCGAGCUGGGCACCACCAUCACCAAGUCGGGCGGCGACUACGCCUACAUGCUCGAGGUGUACGGCUCGCUGCCCGCCUUCCUCAAGCUCUGGAUCGAGCUGCUCAUCAUCCGGCCGUCCUCGCAGUACAUCGUGGCGCUCGUCUUCGCCACCUACCUGCUCAAGCCGCUCUUCCCCACCUGCCCGGUGCCCGAGGAGGCCGCCAAGCUCGUGGCCUGCCUCUGCGUGCUGCUGCUCACGGCCGUGAACUGCUACAGCGUGAAGGCCGCCACCCGGGUCCAGGACGCCUUCGCCGCGGCCAAGCUCCUGGCGCUGGCCUUGAUCAUUCUGCUCGGCUUCAUCCAGAUCGGGAAGGGUGACGUGUCCAAUCUGGAUCCCAAGUUCUCGUUUGAGGGCACCAAGCUGGACGUGGGGAACAUCGUGCUGGCGUUGUACAGCGGCCUCUUUGCCUACGGGGGAUGGAAUUACUUGAAUUUUGUCACGGAGGAGAUGAUCAAUCCCUACAGGAACCUGCCCUUGGCCAUCAUCAUCUCCCUCCCCAUUGUCACCCUGGUGUACGUGCUGACGAACCUGGCCUACUUCACCACGCUGUCCACAGAGCAGAUGCUGACGUCGGAGGCCGUGGCCGUGGACUUCGGGACCUACCACCUGGGCGUCAUGUCCUGGAUCAUCCCGGUCUUCGUGGGCCUGUCCUGCUUCGGCUCCGUCAACGGGUCCCUCUUCACGUCCUCUCGGCUGUUCUUCGUGGGGGCCAGGGAGGGCCACCUGCCCUCCGUCCUUUCCAUGAUCCACCCCCAGCUCCUGACGCCCAUGCCGUCCCUCGUCUUCACGUGCGUCAUGACGCUGCUGUACGCCUUCUCCAGAGACAUUUUCUCCGUCAUCAACUUCUUCAGCUUCUUCAACUGGCUCUGCGUGGCCCUGGCCAUCGCCGGGAUGCUGUGGCUCCGCUACCGGAAGCCUGAGCUGGAGCGGCCCAUCAAGGUGAACCUGGCCCUCCCAGUGUUCUUCAUCCUGGCCUGCCUCUUCUUGAUCGCGGUCUCCUUCUGGAAGACCCCCGUGGAGUGUGGCAUCGGCUUCACCAUAAUCCUCAGCGGCCUGCCCGUCUACUUCUUUGGGGUCUGGUGGAAAAACAAGCCCAAGUGGCUUCUCCAUGGCAUCUUUUCCACGACAGUCCUCUGCCAGAAGCUCAUGCAGGUGGUGCCCCAGGAGACGUAAGCCAGAAGGACCAAGAAGCUGCCGGAAAGAAAACACUCGAAGAUGGUGUUGGAACAUCCCACCCCCUUGACAAGCGACUCCGGUCCCGUCAUCCAGGCAGCUCAGCGGAGCGCCCCGCGCCCGCCCCCCCCGGGUCGGGGGCCGGGGCCCCAGUGCAGACUGGUGCGACUUUAGUCCCAGAGAGCGGACUUCUGUCUUCACCUCCACGAGUGUAGCGCCGAGAGGAGGCCGGGCCCCGAGCUACCGCAGGCUGUUCGUCCGCUGGGGCUCCUCCUUCAGCCUUUGUUUAUCUGUGUUAUUUUUUUAACUUAAAUUUGGGGUCAGGUUGACACCACUAAGAUGAUUAUUUUCUAAAGAAAUGGGGAAUCGUGAGAGUUUUGCCCUCUGCCCCCUGCAGCUUGACUUGCCUGCGGGGGCCCCGGGCGUGUGGUGGGGCGCGGUGCCCGGCCCAGCACAGGCUUCCAGGAAGGGGGGAUCCUGAGUCCCCAGCACUCCAGGCCCAGGAGCAGAGCCACCGAGACUCCGGCCUCACUGUGCGGACCUCCCGAGUUGCACUGGCAGACAGAUGGCAGCCCAGACCGACCGCACACUUGGCUUUCUUUUGUUGUUCUUGUAGAUGUAGUGACUUUAGCAAAAACUAAUCUUGGGACUUAGUCUCUUUGCCUUAAAGAUCCAAGGGUGGAUCCCUCCCCAACCCCCGGAAGAGAAGAGAGAAGGUCACUAGAACAGCUGCCUUCCGAGAGUAACCCCAGCCCCGGCUCAGCGGACGGCAGGUUCCUGCACCUGGUGUCUGCUGCUGGUCGGGGGGCCCCCGGGCAGAGGUGCCGCCCCCCGAGACGG